AGGCAGCCACUGCUGACGUCCCUGGUGG
rnacentral:piRNA from 1 species